rnacentral:rRNA from 1 species
AGUGAACGCUGGCGGUAGGCCUAACACAUGCAAGUCGAACGGCAGCACAGUAAGAGCUUGCUCUUACGGGUGGCGAGUGGCGGACGGGUGAGGAAUACAUCGGAAUCUACUUUUUCGUGGGGGAUAACGUAGGGAAACUUACGCUAAUACCGCAUACGACCUACGGGUGAAAGCAGGGGAUCUUCGGACCUUGCGCGAUUGAAUGAGCCGAUGUCGGAUUAGCUAGUUGGCGGGGUAAAGGCCCACCAAGGCGACGAUCCGUAGCUGGUCUGAGAGGAUGAUCAGCCACACUGGAACUGAGACACGGUCCAGACUCCUACGGGAGGCAGCAGUGGGGAAUAUUGGACAAGGGGCGCAAGCCUGAUCCAGCCAUACCGCGGGGGUGAAGAAGGCCUUCGGGUUGUAAAGCCCUUUUGUUGGGAAAGAAAAGCAGCAGGUUAAUACCCCGCUGUUCUGACGGUACCCAAAGAAUAAGCACCGGCGAACUUCGU